UCCUACAGAACUGGUCCAUCUUUCACUCUAUACUUCUUUAUAAGCCGACCCUAGUCUUGCCAUACAUCUCCAUGGGGUGGUCCCUUUUCCCACAACCCACAGGAGCAUAAGCUUUAUACCCUCACACACCUGAAGGAGUGAGACCCUCUACAAAAACAUUAUCUAAUGCCUCUCUCUCCCCACACUUUAAUAUAUUAUUAUUAACAUGUAUUUAUAUAGCGCCAACAUAUUACGUAGCACUGUAUAUAUAAUAACCAAGCUUCCCCCCCAAGCUCCAUGGGCCAGUCCACCUCUGUCAGAUCACCAUCAAUAUAACCCUCUGUCCCCAUAUUUAUAUGAGCACAAAUUGUCUCCCCCUGCCAUAUCUAUAUAACCAUGAGCUGGUCCCUCUUCCCCCUCAGCCCUACACCAUGAACUGGCCCCUCUCCAAUCUAUGCGCAUGAGGCGGCCCCUCGCUCCCCUCUAGCAGCACACGCGUGGGAGUGUGAGGGAACACACGUCUGUGUGGGCAGUUUGCGUACGAAGCGGCCGCAGUGAGUCAGGCGCUGUAUCUAGGGGGGAAGCGAGUGCCUUUUUCUCCCGCGCAUUUCAAUGUAUAGCGCGUCAUUAGCCUGACGUCAGGACCUUCCCUGUUGCUAGGGUAACCUGGGCACUGGGCCAAGCCAAGUCAGCUGAGAGAACUCACCCCCAGAACUCCCCCUCCCGCCUGAAACGAACGGACACAUUGGGGCUCAAUAAAGUUAGUUGAAAGAACGCGCUCUGUUUCGUCACUGGUGUUUUUUUCGUGUCACGAGCGAGUCAUGUGCUCCUCUGGUCAUGUGACGGUCCUGGCGCGGGGGCCUGCAGCAGGGAGGCAGCAAUAUGGGGACGGUGUUAGAUCACGAUCAAGAGAGUCAAUAAAGUCUCUCGGGAUAGGGUUAGCUUCUCAACAGCAGCCCAGAGCCUACUGAGCAUGUGCAGUGCCACUGACACAUACAAGAUCCCUAAACAGAUCCAAGAUGGGAAGCUGCUGGGGACAAAUUUGAAGGGCUGGAUCAUUACUGUUAUAAGGCUGCUGAACCUCUGGCCUGGAAACUUGUUAGGGGUGGUGGUGGUGGUCAUGAGCAAGGAAACAGUCCAGCACCAGGGAAUUACUCUGACCAUAGAGGGAUCAGUCAAUUUGCAGCUCAGUGCAAAGAUCGUUGGUGUUUUCGAAGCGUUUUAUAAUUCAGUAAAGUACAACCUCCGUUGUGACAUGAAGCGCUCCCUUCUAGCCAAGGACCUGACUAAGUCUUUCGAGUUCAUUAUUCACUCAUUGGUCUGCACCAAAUGCCAGAGUUUUUCCACAGAAACAAGGCACCAAACCAUCCUGCCAUUUAUAACCCUUGAUUGGCCUUUGAUUUGCAUGGAUUUGUCUGGAAGGGAGCAGUCCAUUCAAUCCAUAGGGGUCCAGGAGGGGGCACAGGAACCAUGCGGACAUACCAAAGCUGUUCCAAACCAGGGAGGGAAGAAACAUGCUAUGCUCUUCCUGGUGAGAGUCAUGCUGUGGGGGGCUGACUCAACGAGAGCAACAGAAGCUGUCUCAGCCCCAGAAGGCCAAGUUACCACCAACCCCUGUGGACUUUUCUAUACGCCAGAGGCUUUACAGAAUGUUAAAGAGGUUGUGCUGAAGGUUAUGCUCAGGAUGCCACAGAAAUUCAGAAUAUCCAGAUAGCUGAAGGAGAUGUGAGCAGAGGGCUUCCUAUUCCCAUUUACAUGGUAUUCCCCAGACUGUUUACCUGCUCUACGCUAGAAACAACCAAUUUUAAAAUAGAGUUUGAAGUUAAUAUUGUAGUGAUCUUACAUGACGACCAUCUCAUCACAGAGAACUUCCCUCUCAACCUGUGUCGGAUGUGAUUUCCUGAACGAUGGAAGCACUUUCCUAUGUAAUCACGGUGACAUGGAGAAGGACCUCCCGCCAGGAAAUGUCACUUUCUACACAGUAACCAACCUGAGAUUUGUUUUCUGUAUCCUCUCUGCAGUAUACUGGUAAAAUCCAAUUGCUGAUAGAAACGAGCCACAGCAUUGGAAUGGACCAAAAUAGUGGGGGAACAAGGCACUAGUUAUGGGGGAGGGGGGAGAGUGUAAAUAAACCACACUUUAUUUGGAAUAAAUCGUUUUUCUUCAGA